AGAGAACAGCCGUAGGAAGAAAAGAAAGAUAGCAAGCACGCCAAAAAGAGCAAGAGUCAUCUUAAGUCCACAACCAACAGGGAAGACUGUCUUCCAUGAUGAUUUCAAUAAUCAUAUUUCCAACAGGCAACUUUGGUUAAAUGCUUCCAAACGCAGGGGAUGUCUCAAAUCAUGGAGAGUUAAGGAGGAUAUGGUGGUCACCAUGGAAUCAAAAUCAAAGAAGGAGGGCGUAUAAAAACCUCUCUAUGGAGUAUCUAAAAAUAAAUGGGUUUCACGUCAAUUGAAUUGCCCCCCUAUGGGCACCUGCCGCCGGCAAGUCAACAAGAAAAAAAAAACCAAAAAAAAGAAGAAAAGAGCCAGCGGAGGAAGAGAUAAUGGAGCAAAAGAAAAAAUGGUGGGUUUGCUUGUUGUGUUUUGUUUGCAAAGAAACAAAACAAAGAGCAGCUGAAAAAAGAAAAAAAAAAAAAAGGGGCUAUGUCGCACAACCCUCCCUCCCUCUGUUGGUCUGCUUAGAUUGGAAAAAAAGGAGUAAGGAAGAAGAGAGAAUGGAGUAAAAAAUGGUGGCUGGCUUUGUUCUUGUGUUUUGUUUGCAAAGAGACCAAAUAGGGGCAACGUAGUAAAAAAAAGAGUUAAUGAAAUAAAAAAAGGAGGCCUGUGUCGCACAGCCCCUCCCUAUCUUGAAUCAAAAUUCAUGGUCAACUUUGAUUAAAAAAAUGAGUAAAGAAAAAGCUCUCAAUAUGGAAGAAGACAAAGCAAAUACUCAACCUAGACUUGUCUUUAUGAAGCAAGAAGACAAACUGCUCAUGAAGCUCUCAAUGUGGCAAGUCAACUACAUAGAAAUAAACAAACGAAAAAAACAAGAAGAAGAAAAUGAAGAUUAUGAGUGUGGGUUACCACG